GGACUACUGGGGUAUCUAAUCCUGUUUGCUCCCCCAGCUUUCGGGCCUGAGCGUCAGGUCGUGGCCAGGACGCUGCCUUCGCCGUCGGUGUUCUUCCGGAUCUCUACGCAUUUCACCGCUCCACCCGGAGUUCCACGUCCCUCUCCACGCCUCAAGCGCGCCCGUUUGGCAGGCCCCCUCCCAGUUGAGCCGAGAGAUUUCACCCGCCACUGCAGCACGCCGCCUGCUCCCCCUUUACGCCCAGUAACUCCGGACAACGCUCGUCUCCUACGUAUUACCGCGGCUGCUGGCAC
rnacentral:rRNA from 1 species